UGCAGUCGAACGGCAGCACGGGAGCAAUCCUGGUGGCGAGUGGCGAACGGGUGAGUAAUAUAUCGGAACGUGCCCAGUCGUGGGGGAUAACGCAGCGAAAGCUGUGCUAAUACCGCAUACGAUCUCUGGAUGAAAGCGGGGGACUCGUAAGAGCCUCGCGCGAUUGGAGCGGCCGAUAUCAGAUUAGCUAGUUGGUGGGGUAAAGGCCCACCAAGGCGACGAUCUGUAGCUGGUCUGAGAGGACGACCAGCCACACUGGAACUGAGACACGGUCCAGACUCCUACGGGAGGCAGCAGUGGGGAAUUUUGGACAAUGGGCGCAAGCCUGAUCCAGCAAUGCCGCGUGCAGGAUGAAGGCCUUCGGGUUGUAAACUGCUUUUGUACGGAACGAAAAGGUCUGCCUUAAUACGGUGGGCCCAUGACGGUACCGUAAGAAUAAGCACCGGCAAACUACGUGCCAGCAGCCGCGGUAAUACGUAGGGUGCGAGCGUUAAUCGGAAUUACUGGGCGUAAAGCGUGCGCAGGCGGUUAUAUAAGACAGAUGUGAAAUCCCCGGGCUCAACCUGGGACCUGCAUUUGUGACUGUAUAGCUAGAGUACGGUAGAGGGGGGAUGGAAUUCCGCGUGUAGCAGUGAAAUGCGUAGAUAUGCGGAGGAACACCGAUGGCGAAGGGCAUCCCCUGGACCUGUACUGACGCUCAUGCACG
rnacentral:rRNA from 1 species